rnacentral:rRNA from 1 species
UAACAAAUUAUUAACACAGAUAAUGCUCCUACAAUUGUAAAUGCUUGUUUGUACUUGUUAAUAAACUUUAUCAUAUUGUUUGUUUUAAAAAAUGUCAUUGUGAUCUUCGUUAUCCCACUCACCAAAUAAAUCUUCACCCUUAUAGUCAGGAUGAUUUUCUUUCAUAUAAUCAAUUCCACGUACCCAAAGUACUGCUACAACAGCGGCUAAUAUAAAGGAACAGCCUAUUCCUAUGAUUAAUCCCACCAUCUUCUAAUGUUUUGUUCUAAUAUUUUAAAUAAUAAUUUAUGUGCUCGUUCUUCGUUUAUUUUAGCUAUUUCAUAUGCUAUCCUACCUUUAGGAGCAUUUAAAUCAGGAACCAUUCUGUAUAUUAAAGGAUACUUUUUAAAGUAUUCAUCAUAACGUUCUGAUAUUUCUUCUAUUUCCAUUUAAACUCUUUCUGUGAUCCAUAUAGUAUACCAUUAAAACAAAUUGCCGUGAAGUCUUGGUCUAUUCCUAUUUUUAUCAACUUUAUGAUCUAAUAUGUCAUCUAAGGAAUCUGUUACAAUUCCAGCGUUUCUCAUAGCACCAUACAAAUCUAAUAGCCUAAUUAAUACAUCUGCCAUUUCUUCAACAAUUUCACGACUGCCCUUAUCUUUUCUAACUGCUUCUAAAAUUUCUGUUACUUCUGAGUGUACAAGAGCAAGUUUGUUUCCAAAUUUAUCAUAGUUGUGCUCUCCGUCCCAGAAUCCCUUUUCUAUUGCAGAUUCAUGCAAUAUUGCUGCACAUGCAUCUAAACCGUAGUCUAAAAGCACACUUGAUGCAGUUUGCGUAGUCUUUUCUGUAUUAGGCGGUGUUCUAAAGUUGUCUGUUUUAAUUACUCCCAUUAUUGUCUCCUAAAGAUAUUAAAACAGAUAACUUUAGAACACCGCCUACCCACUGAAACCCAACUCCGAAUACCACGAUGAUUAUUCCGGGAGACAGAACGUGUGGGAUAAGCUUCACGUUCAAGAGGGAAAGAACCCAGACCGCCGAUUAAGGCCCCCAAGACGAUACUAAGUGGCAAAGGAAGUGGGAUCGCUAAGACAGCCGGGAUGUUGGCUUAGAAGCAGCCACCAUUUAAAAAGUGCGUAAUAGCUUACCGGUCGAGCCAUCCCGCGCCGAAAAUGACGGGGACUCAAGUAUCGCGCCGAAGUCGCGGAUUCGUAAGAAUGGUAGGAGAGCGUUGCCCUCGGCGUUGAAGGCAGACCGGAAGGACUGCUGGAGCGUGGGCAAGUGCGUAUGCCGGAACGAGUAACGAUAAGAUGGGUGGGAAGCCCAUCCGCCGAAAGCUCAAGGUUUCCUGGGGAAGGUCAAUCCGCCCAGGGUUAGUCGGGACCUAAGACGAGGCUGAAAAGCGUAGUCGAUGGACAGCAGGUUAAUAUUCCUGCACCUGGCAUAAAGGUUGAUUUACAGAGGACGCCGUGUGAUGAGUGGUCGGGGUGCUAGACGUCCCCGUGCCGCAAGGCCGACAGCAUUGUUCUGGAAGCCAUUCUGACUCAUGGCCACGAAAAGCCCUGUAAUGACAAUAUGUUUUGCCCGUACCGUAAUCCGACACAGGUGAGCGAGGUGAGUAUCCAAAGGCGUUCGGGAGAACUCUCGUGAAGGAACUCGGCAAAUUGACCCCGUAACUUCGGGAUAAGGGGUGCUCACCGCAAGGUGAGCCGCAGAGAAUCGGCUCUAGCGACUGUUUAUCAAAAACACAGGACGCUGCGAAUUCGCAAGAAGAUGUAUAGCGUCUGACGCCUGCUCGGUGUCGGUAGGUUAAGGAAGCCGGUCAGCGAAAGCAAAGCUGGCGACCGAAGCCCCGAUAAACGGCGGCCGUAACUAUGACGGUCCUAAGGUAGCGAAAUUCCUUGUCGGGUAAGUUCCGACCUGCAUGAAUGGCGUAACGACUGGAGCACUGUCUCCACGGGAGACCCGGUGAAACUGUAGCCGUGGUGAAGAUGCCACGUACCCGCGGCUAUCGUGACUGGGAAACAGAUCGGAAGAGCACACGUCUGAACUCCAGUCACCUGAAGCUAUCUCGUAUGCCGUCUUCUGCUUGAAAAA